AAAUAAUAGACCCAUGUCUAUAACCGAAUCAUUCAGAUAAAACCGUAAAACAAACCGGAGAGUAUAAUUUGUGAUUAAUCCCCAAUUCUGCAAAUCUCUAGGGUUAGGGUUUUUUCUUUUCCACUAAAAUCGAAGAAUGGAAGUAAAACAAUUACUGAAGAACAAGAAUUUCUGGUUUGCUUCUUUUCUCAUUGGUUGGGCUGCUGCACUUCAGGGGCACAUGAUGUGGUUGCAAAGGCAAGAUUCAUUCAAGCAGAAGUUUGCUACACUAAAUCAAAAUGAUAAUGAUAGUAAUCAUAGCUAAAAAAUGAUACAUUCGCCCGCACGGGUUUGGUUUAGGGGUCUAAAUUUCAGCCAUCUGGGCGUUAUGGUCACAGGUUUAAACUCUGUCUACGCCUUUCUAAUAAAUGGAGUGGUUGGGACUUAGCUACUGGCCAUUAUAGCCUGAUGUUGUCAUGUAUGUGGGCUUGCUGGCUGUCCAAAUUCUGGGGUCUUUCGGCUCGGGUGAGUCCUCAUCACCAACGAAAAAUGAUACUUAUCAAGUUUUUUUUUCUUAUUUAUUGUUUUGAUAUUAUAAGACUGAUCAAUAACUGUUUAUGUAAAGAAAAUGUGGUUCUUGAAUAUAAGAUUUUGGUUCACAA